rnacentral:rRNA from 1 species
UGGGGAAUAUUGCACAAUGGGCGCAAGCCUGAUGCAGCCAUGCCGCGUGUAUGAAGAAGGCCUUCGGGUUGUAAAGUACUUUCAGUCGGGAGGAAGGUGGUAAGGUUAAUAACCUUAUCAAUUGACGUUACCGACAGAAGAAGCACCGGCUAACUCCGUGCCAGCAGCCGCGGUAAUACGGAGGGUGCAAGCGUUAAUCGGAAUUACUGGGCGUAAAGCGCACGCAGGCGGUUGAUUGAGUCAGAUGUGAAAUCCCCGGGCUUAACCCGGGAAUUGCAUCUGAUACUGGUCAGCUAGAGUCUUGUAGAGGGGGGUAGAAUUCCAUGUGUUGCGGUGAAAUGCGUAGGGAUGUGGAGGAAUCCCGGUGGCGAAAGCGGCCCCCUGGACAAAGACUGACGCUCAGGUGCGAAAGCGUGGGGAGCAAACAGG